CUCACACUGUCUAUGAAUCUGUCAGAGGCUCUGAGGACACUGAAAAUGGUGGACCCGCGGGUCAAUCCGGUGACGUCACAUUUUCUGUGAUUGCGUUAAAAAAUCUUCACAAGAGUGGGAAACCCGCCGACCCAGAGGAGAGCUCUGGCCGCUCUGAUGCGAGGAGAGGAUCGACCACAGGACACAGAGGAGCUUUAGGCAGACCUUGUGAUGCAACUGAUGAAGAUGGCCAUCAUCGGUGAUGGCUGUGCAACCACUGUCGUCGAGGGGACCAAAAUCCUGGAAGGGAUCGAUGUCGCCAGAUCCUGCGAUUUGCUGAUGAGCAUAAUAUAGGCUCUUUACCUCAGCUGUCCCAAGCAGCUGAAGUUCACCUGUGAGGUAUAUCAGAAGUGACUCCUGGUGCUUAAUGUACAAAAGGCCAGCUCAAAAGCAAUGAAUCUUAAAGUGCAGUAUUUUCUGAUUGCGCUCUAAAACCUCAGCACUCUUAGUGAGUUGGAAGUUUGCACUGAGGACAUCUCUACAUUACGGACAGUGUUAAUCCAUAACACUGGUGUUACCGUUACAGUUAUCAAAGGUUGAGGUUUCAUCAGGUUAUACACUUGAUGUGUUGCACUUAAGAAUUGCCUUUAGAAUUGCUGUUGUCUUGUAUACUCAAAGGCCUGUUCUAUUCAUUCAAAAUUUCUGUGAUUCAAACAGUCCUUAUUUUGUAAUCGUGAACAGUAGGCCAUAUAUUUAAUUUCCUAAGGCCACAGUCACCAUAGAUAUUUGUGUUAAUAUGUUUUGAAUGUAAUGUGGUGAUGAUGUGA